rnacentral:lncRNA from 1 species
AAAAAUAACAACAUGUAACUAUUGACUAUCACCUAGGGUAAUAAAUCUUGAGAACUUAGAGUAUGGAGUGGGAGAGAUAUUUCCUGAAAAUAAACAUUCUGUGAUAUUAUAAAAAUAUUUAUGAUUGCUUUUAUUAUUGAAAACCCACCAGUUCAAAAAGUUAGUGAGCUAAAUCAAUUUGUCACAUCAUGCAUCCAUGAAAAGAAUAAAUUAAAGCAUAGAUCUUUGAUAUGGUAUGCUUUUUGUAAGGAAACCAAUCACUUGAUCAAACUGCUUUUUUUCAACAUUUUAGAAAAGUUUUUCUGCUCUCACUGUGUGCCAGGCCCAAUGCCAGAUGCCAAACAAACAAACAAACAAAAAGGUAUUUUCCCUCAAGUUGCUCACCAGGAGAUGGGAAAAGCUCACAGUCAAAGGCUCAGAGGGAGAUUGCUGUCCUGGCUUAGAUCUAAAAUGUUUAGGAAAGGGGGCACCUGGGUGGCUCAGUCAGUUAAGCAUCCGACUCGGCUUCAGCUCAGGUUCUGAUUUCACGGUUCCAUAGGAUUGAGCCCACUGUCAGCACAGAACCUGCUUGGGAUUCUCUCUCUAGCUUUCUCUCCACCCCUCUCUCGCUAGGGCACGCACACAUGCACGCUCUCCUUCUCUCUCUCAAAUAAAUAAAUAAACUUUAAAAUGUUUAAGAAAGACAAUUCCUUCCAAGACCAUAACAAGAAGUUAGUUCAGCAACCCUGCUCUGUAGACCUCACCAGGUAUCUUGGUAAAUGUUAACAUCUCUGAGAUAGUUGAGGUCCUUUCUACCAAGCGUCCAGGGAAGAUCUCAAAGAGACCUCUUUCAAGAAGAGCUAUUGACCAUCAUAAAUCCUGUCCACUCAGCUUUACAAAAUAAUUUCAAUUUCCAAAGGCAUUAUACUGUUUCCCACCUCCACUCCUUUGGCUGUGCUGUUCCUUCAGCUUGGAAUGUUAAAUUUCUGUUCUCCAUCUUUGGCUAAUUCUUACCCAACGUCAAAUACAGGCUCAAGUCCUUCUCCAGUAGAGCUUCUCUGGUUCCCUGCCACACAAAUUGUAUUGAGAAUCUUUCUUCCAUGAUCCCACAGCUCUUUCCCCCUUAUAGUCAACCAUUUAUUUCUCAUGUGCCCUUGGUAAAGUCCCAGUUUACUUAAAGUUGCAUCCCUGGUGUCUGACAUAGAAUAGGAACGCAAAGAUUAUUUGAUGAAUUCAACUGUACAGCUUCACUUUUCUCCCCUGGGUGUACUUGGCUUACUAUACUAAACUGAACUUUGUGACUGAUUUCCCUGCAUGGCAUGCCCUCCACUGCACCAUUUUCCAAGUCUAAGACACCACACUCACUUGUCCAGUGACAUCCCAGGGAAGACAAACUUGCCCAGGCAGAUGCGAUAGACAGCGCUCAGGGGAAUCCGCUGCAACUGCACACAGCUGAGCAUGAUGAAGUCAUAUUUGCAGAUCAAGAGAGUCUUGUCUGUGACCAGCAAAAUCCUCUCCUUCUCAUUGUUCCAAUGAUCUAUCCUGUGGGAAUCAUCACAGAGAAUAAAAGUUAAUGGCACGGUCU